rnacentral:rRNA from 1 species
GACUAACGCUGGCGGCGUGCCUAACACAUGCAAGUCGAACGAAGCAGUAAUGCUUAGUGGCAGACGGGUGAGUAACGCGUAGAUAAUGUGCCCUCUUGCGGGGGAUACCGUUUCGAAAGGAACGUUAAUACCGCAUAACACCCUUGAUGGGCAUCCAUCGAGGGUCAAACUUCCGGGGCGGGAGGAGCAAUCUGCGUUCUAUCAGGUAGUUGGUGAGGUAACGGCUCACCAAGCCUACGACGGAUAACUGGUCUGAGAGGAUGAUCAGUCACACUGGAACUGAGACACGGUCCAGACUCCUACGGGUGGCUG